rnacentral:lncRNA from 1 species
AAAAAUUUAAAACAGAAGCUGAAAUUUAACACAAAGCAACUUCAAACACAUAUUGACACAUUCCAAAAGGUCUCACAUCAAAAUCAUUCACCAAAAGCAUUUCAUGAUCAAAUGAAGUUCAAGACAACAUAUUGACACAUUCCAAAAGGUCUCACAUCAAAAUCAUUCACCAAAAGCAUUUCAUGAUCAAAUGAAGUUCAAGACAAUUUCAAAGCUCAUAUGUGAUCAUCAUGAAUGAAAAAUUCAAAUCAAAAUAGAAAUGAUUCAAAUAAAUCUGGAAAAAUUCAUGAACAUUCAAGACAUCCAUAACAUUCAU